CCUACGGGUGGCAGCAGUGGGGGAUAUUGCACAAUGGGGGAAACCCUGAUGCAGCGACGCCGCGUGGGUGAAGAAGCGCCUCGGCGCGUAAAGCCCUGUCAGCAGGGAAGAAAAUGACGGUACCUGAAGAAGAAGCCACGGCUAACUACGUGCCAGCAGCCGCGGUAAUACGUAGGGGGCAAGCGUUAUCCGGAUUUACUGGGUGUAAAGGGGGCGCAGACGGCGAUGCAAGCCAGGAGUGAAAGCCCGGGGCCCAACCCCGGGACUGCUCGUGGAACUGCGUGGCUAGAGUGCAGGAGGGGGAGGCGGAAGUCCUGGUGUAGCGGUGAAAUGCGUAGAUAUCAGGAGGAACACCGGUGGCGAAGGCGGCCUGCUGGACGGCAACUGACGUUGAGGCCCGAAAGCGUGGGGAGCAAACAGGAUUAGAUACCCUGGUAGUC
rnacentral:rRNA from 1 species